UCUAGGUCCGCACAACAAAUGUGGCCGCGUGGAGAUCCUAGUAGGGGAGCUCAUGGUGACGCAGCUGCUUGUUCAGGAUUUCGGGGGAGAAAAAUAAUGAGAAAUGGGCUGCAAGCAGCGAGAUUUGCUUGGAAAGGGUGCGCUUCGAAUGCAGUGCUUCUUCGAAUUAAUUACUUAAUUCCACCCUUUUUCGCUGCUUUUCCUUUUCGUUGAGCCCAGAGUCCGGAGUGGAACCUUCAUGGCCCCAACCAGCGCCUAAGAUCUGGAAAUGCCCAGCUCGGUUGAGACGCCUUGCCAUCAAUACAUGCUACGGCAUCGUUGCAGACAAGCAGCGAUUCCUGGCAUUUGAAGACAACUGGGGAGGAGCAACAUAACUAGGUUUUAACUCUCGCAAGUAAGCUGUCAUGUUUUCAAGUCACGUCAGAGCAGUGCAGUGCAGUGUCCACUGUUUCUUUCAUUUCUGUGGCUAUUCUCGAUAAAUGGAAAGAUUGGGCUGUGUGGUGCUUCUGAAGGGGGGGAUGAAACCCCGGAUAUUCUCCCUGGUGCUGCCGCACGUACUAAUCAUGGUCAUCUUUAGCCCAUGAAUAGCGGGGACCACGAGUCACCGACAGGCUCCGAUUCAUUUUCAUGUCACCAACUCUUGAUGCAUUUUGCGUAGUUUUUGCUUUACUUUCCUUGUUUUUCACCAUAUUAUUUCUUUAUUAUUAUCUUUAUUACACUACUCAGUUUCUUCUCAUUUACAAUUGUCAUGGCUGUGACACAUUCUCUACCGGAGGCAACUGACCUUUAGUGCCAGUGCAACUUCAAGUAUUGGUCGAGUGGAAUGUCCAGAUUCCCUAUUCAAAUACAAAAUUUUGGUUUAAUUUCAAAACAAAUAGUCAUUCCUCUUUGAAAUCAGAACCCCAUAGUUAUUUCUGGGACCUUGUGGUGAAUGGCCCCGUUCAUCUCCAAUUUCUCCCAAGAUACUAGUUGCACCUCGGACGAGAUCUCAGGGGACUUUCCAAAUGGGCGACAAUACCUGGAGUGAUCAUGCCACCAACCCUAUUCCAUGGAUGCUGAGUAUUUGGGGUUUGUGAACAUAGGUAUCAAGCUACUAUCAGCUUGCUUUUCCCUCUACAGCUCUGGAGUAUUUGACCUAUUUUCGACACAGUAAAUUUGUGAUGCAGGAAACGAGGUUUCUUACACUGCGGUCUAUGCUCCGUUCUGCACUCUAGAAACGGAAGAGUAACUUACCCUUCUGUAUUCUGUGAAACACUAGAUUUGCUAACGACUAUCACUUAACAUUUUCUAACUGUCUCACUUUGAUUUAUAACCAACCAAUAUUUGUAUGGACAUCUAAAGAUUAAAAAAAUCAAGAAAUGAAAACAAUAUCUAUUCGUGCAACAUUUAACAAUGGUUGAAACCACUUGAUUAUUACAGAAGCUAUAUUAGUUUGACAGCAGGCUUUAGAUGCCCCGCUGUGGAUAUUAGCUUGCGUCGUACUACUUCGGAAAACUUGUAGGAGAGUCUGGCUCAGCAUCUAGGGACGACGAAUGCAAUGGCAUUGUAAAAACUUGUGGACGAGAGUGAGAUAGACAAAGUCGUGUAGCAUAACGAGAAUGAGAGAUUCUUCUCUCCAUGUUUUUCUUUUUCUUUUUGUCUUUUUAAAAUUUCAUUACAUUUUUCUGAA